CCAUGCACUUAAAAUUAAAAUAUUCUAAUAUGAAUAUAUUUUUAUUAUCCAAAAUAGUAGACAGUGUUUUAAAAAAUAUCAAAAUGUGUUUCUAUUCAAAAUAGAGAACAUCAUAAAUAUUUCUAUUGACACCGUCUGUUAUUGAGGGAACAGAAACAGAGCACUUAAAAAUCUCUAAAUACUGACAUAUUUUGUGUUUAAUACAAUAAUAGCUG